AGAACGCUGGCGGCGUGCUUAACACAUGCAAGUCGAACGGGAGUAUUGAAGAAGCUUGCUUUAGAGAUACUUUAGUGGCGGACGGGUGAGUAAACGCGUGAGGAGCUGUCCUAUGCAGGGGGACAACAGCUGGAAACGGCUGCUAAUACCCCAUAAGCCGAGAGGUAAAAGGAUCAAUCCGGCAGAGGAGGUACUCGCGUCCUAUCAGCUAGUAGGUGAGGUAACGGCUCACCUAGGCGAAGACGGGUAGCCGGCCUGAGAGGGCGAACGGCCACACUGGAACUGAGAUACGGUCCAGACUCCUACGGGAGGCAGCAGUGGGGAAUAUUGGGCAAUGGGGGAAACCCUGACCCAGCGACGCCGCGUGGGUGAAGAAAUCCUUCGGGAUGUAAAGCCCUGUUGUAUGGGAAGAGCGGAAGACGGUACCAUACGAGGAAGCCCCGGCAAACUACGUG
rnacentral:rRNA from 1 species